CCCUAGUUAGCAGCUUCCUUCAGCUCAUCCAAGAAGCUGACAAGUACUGUUAGAGGAGGCUGUACAUGUUGCUCUAAUGGACCUCAUUAAGUUCUACUUACAGAUGUUCUCUUAACAUAAUUGAUCUGCGAUGAAAACUUUAAGGAACAAUGAAGAAGAAGAGGUACUGCUCUGAAACGGACUGAAAUGUGGAGCUGCGGUGAGCUGUUUGCCAGAGAUUUGAAAGCUUCAGUGGAAAAAGCCCAAGGCCAUCAGACAAACAAAAAGUUUGGGAGAGAGUACCUCUUGAAUUUGAUAACACCACCUAUCCUAUACUCAUGCUGUUCUCCCUCUCUCCACUCCCUGGUGUAUGCCUUACUUCCCUGUCUUCCUACUGCUUUCAAAUGCUGGUCCCACAUAGUGCACAGGAUUUCUCUAGCGUUCAGGGUAUGAGCAAUUAACAUCUAUCCUAGGGAUAUGUGCUUCAUUCACUGCUCUGGUAGCUGAAGCCAUUUUGCAAGGGCAGUUUCCCCACUUCACCCAAAAAAGGACUAUGCAAGGAAAGGUCUCUCCAAAAUGUAUUCUUUGCUAAAUGGUUUGUUUUUACAGUGUUGUUGAAUAAGGAGACGGGCAAACUAGCAGCAGCUUUCACUGAAUGUAUUGCUUUUGUCAGUUAAAAAAAAUGUGGACCCUUCGAACUUGACAACAUGCUUAAUCCUUCAACUUCAAGUGACUUCAAGUGGGACUGCUUGUCAGAGCAAGGGCUGCAGUCUGGCCCUAAAACUUAAUGGUGCAAUAAUUUCAGUGGGAUUUUGAGUUGUGAAAUUGCUAUAAGUAUCGUACUAAUCCUUGGGCCCAAUCCUGCUAUUUCUAAAAUGGGCAAUCUUUCUUCACAGAACUGUUGCUUUGAGGUUAGGGUGACUGUCUGCUGGUCUGAGGACUACUCACCUGAGCAAAGGUUACAGAAGAGCAGCCUCAAAUCAAUGCAAACACUAUAGUGCUGUUUUCUCCACUUGGGCUCUUAAACUAUUGAAUGACUUUUUGAAACAGUU